UUGCCUCUUUUUCUCUCACUACAAGUGUUCUGUGGGCAACACUUCUUCAGGCCAACUGAGCAUUCAAUCUAAGACAAACUGUAGGGAUAUUAAAGAAGGUACUAACAGUGAUUCCCCCAAGUGACAGUGACCCCCUCAUAAUUUGCCCCCCACACUUUAAAAUCCAACAGUUUCACCAAGUACAAAAAUCUCUUGGAUCUUCUGUUAAAACUUGUAAGCUACUGUCUGUAGAAACCAUUCAUUGUAUCUAUCCUGUGAAAGAUACUUUAUUACUAUGUAAAACUUACAAACAAGUUAAUUGACUUUGUUAUUGAAGUAAUUGAUACAAUGUAAACAAACACUAUACACCGUUAAGUGACUUUCAUUUCAUUGUAACAGCAACGGCCCCUAGGAACAGACCCCCACCCUCUGUGAUUAAAGGGCCAGGAGUCUCAAAUGAAUUAGCACACACCCUGAAAGUGGUGGAGAUUGUAAAUUAAAAUAUGAUUAAGAUAUGGAAUGUAUGUUGAUGAGUGCUUGAUGUACAUGAAUGGUUAGGGAGGUGCCAGUCUAGAAAGGGAGUAUCCAUCGGUCGAAGAAUGUGUCAAGUGGAUGACCAGACAACCCCCGGAGGGUAAACUGGGAUCCACCCCAUCGCCUGGAAGGAUGAGAAACACAAACUUUGGACAGUUUGGAGCCACCAGGAAUGUGCCCAGGAAUGUGUCCAGGAAUGUGCCAUCUGCUGAUUGAGUCAGCAAUAGCAGAAUGAAACAGCUCCCAUAGACUAACAUAGGAAUUAAUUCCUAUAAGAAUGGACUCCAAGACUGAGGAUUUUGAGUCUCUGGUUCUGCUACCAGCCUCCAGGAGCAUCAGGUGCACCUGACACAGACUUGGCUCCAUCCUCAUGAUACCUGGCCAGUAACUUGGCAUGAGCAACUUCUAGGCUGAAGACCCUUUGCUAUGAUAACAGGAAAAGCACCACUAAAAUAAUCAAAGCAGAUAUAAAGGAAAUAGCAAGCUUUCCCUCGUCUAUAUAGGAGGUAGCCAGCACCCAUUCUGAACCUUUCUUAUGCAGAC